rnacentral:rRNA from 1 species
AUGGACGGCGACGACUUCACGGGCAAGCUGGGCCGAGGCAGCUGCGUGGCCCACGCGACAAACGAACGGGUGAACCUCUCGGUCGUCCUGCUCCCAACGGCAGGCGGGUCAGGAGGCGGCGGAUCCGGCUGCUCUGGCGUGGAUCCGGUGGCGGCAGACGAAUUUGAGGCGGAGAAGAACGAGUCCGACGGAGAGGUGGUAGGAGGCGGCGAGCUCCAAGGCAGGGUGGCUGCGUCGAAGAAGGAUUGGCCGGUACUGCCGGCUGGCGUCAAGUUCGAUCCCACGGAUCAGGAGCUGAUUGAGCACCUUGAGGCCAAAGUGAGUGCUGAUAGCGCGAGAUUUCAGUCUCUCAUUGAUUUGUUCAUACCAACCAUCGACAGCGAGCACGACAUAUGCUACACCCAACCUGAGAAACUUCCAGGUAUCACACUGAGUGGCCUAAGAAAGCAUUUCUUCCAGCGCAAUUCCAGGGCGUUCAAAAGGGGCAUGUGGACGUGUCGCAAGAUACAGUCGGAGUGCAGCAUGCACGCGAUGUGGCACAAGACCGGCAAUACCUUGCCAGUGAUGGUCAACGGCCGGCAGACGGGCAGCAAAAAAGGUUUUGGUGCUGCACACCAACAAGAACUUCGACCAGUAGAGGACCAACUGGGUGAUGCACCAGUACCACCUCGGGCACUUGGAGCAAGAGAAGGAGCGGGAGCUGGUCGAGCAAGUUUCAACUGGGCUGUAGACUGCCCAGGGUUGGUUUUGUUUUUAACAGGCCCAGCCCAUGACGACAACGGGGCACAAAGAUCCAGCAGUCUGAAAUUUUGGUCUUUACUGUCAAGUCUGAAGUUAGUGGUAACUACUGAAGUUGGUGUUCAUGUCAAGUUAGUGGUAACUAAUGAAGUUACAGUUGCUUGUCUUUCACACAAGAAGCUGGUCUACUCCCAGAUAAUGCUAAACUGGAACCAGAUUGUUGCUUCUUUGAUUUAUGUGCUGCUUGAAGCUGAGUUCUGUUCUCCCAAAGACCUCUCUGAUGAUGGAAGUCGCAUAUCAUCCCUGGUUUUCUCUCCAUUGAUAGUAGCAGCAGAUUUUGUCGACCUGAAAUUAAAUGAUGCAAUACUUGACCUGAUGUGCUGCAUGUAUAUCUCCGGUGCUGGCUUGCAUUAUGAUAAUCCUCCUGGGAAGAUAAUCUACUUCUCCCAGUACUAA